rnacentral:rRNA from 1 species
UACGUAGGGGGCAAGCGUUGUCCGGAUUUAUUGGGCGUAAAGAGCGUGUAGGCGGCCAUACAGGUCAGCUGUGAAAACUCGAGGCUCAACCUCGAGACGUCGGUUGAAACCGUAUGGCUAGAGUCCGGAAGAGGAGAGUGGAAUUCCCGGUGUAGCGGUGAAAUGCGCAGAUAUCGGGAAGAACACCAGUGGCGAAGGCGGCUCACUGGCCCGAUACUGACGCUGAGGCACGAAAGCGUGGGGAGCAAACAGG